GAUGAACGCUAGCGGGAGGCCUAACACAUGCAAGCCGAGCGGUAUGGGUAGCUUGCUACCCAGAGAGCGGCGUACGGGUGCGUAACACGUGUGCAACCUGCCCCUAUCCGUGGGAUAGCCCUCCGAAAGGAGGAUUAAUACCCCAUAAUAUAUCUGGUUGCAUCCCUAGAUAUUGAAAACCCCGGUGGCUAUGGCUGGGCACGCGCAAGAUUAGAUAGUUGGCGGGGUAACGGCCCACCAAGUCGAUGAUCUUUAGGGGUCCUGAGAGGGAGAUCCCCCACACUGGGACUGAGACACGGACCAGACUCCUACGGGAGGCAGCAGUGAGGAAGAUUGGACAAUGGGUGGGAGCCUGAUCCAGCCAUCCCGCGUGAGGGACGACGGCCCUAUGGGUUGUAAACCUCUUUUGUAAGGGGAGAAACCUAUCUACGUGUAGAUAGCUGAAGGUACCGUACGAAUAAGCACCGGCUAACUCCGUG
rnacentral:rRNA from 1 species